rnacentral:rRNA from 1 species
GAUGAACGCUAGCGGGAGGCUUAACACAUGCAAGUCGAGCGGUAGGGCAGCAAUGCCUGAGAGCGGCGCACGGGUGCGUAACGCGUAUGCAACCUGCCUUAUACAGGGGAAUAGCCCAUGGAAACGUGGAUUAAUGUCCCAUAGGAUUACGGAUUCGCAUGGAUUUGUGAUUAAAACUGAGGUGGUAUAAGAUGGGCAUGCGUCUGAUUAGGUAGUUGGUAGGGUAAUGGCCUACCAAGCCGACGAUCAGUAGGGGUUCUGAGAGGAUUACCCCCCACACUGGUACUGAGACACGGACCAGACUCGUACGGGAGGCAGCAGUGCGGAAUAUUGGUCAAUGGCCGGAAGGCUGAACCAGCCAUCCCGCGUGCAGGAUGACGGCCCUAUGGGUUGUAAACUGCUUUUGUACCUGAAGAAACCUGUUUACGAGUAGACAGUUGCCGGUAAGGUAUGAAUAAGCAUCGGCUAACUCCGUGCCAGCAGCCGCAGUAAGAC